rnacentral:rRNA from 1 species
CAAUAUUCCUGUACCGACGUACAGUGCGAUGUGGGGACGGAGAAGGUUAGCUCAGCCGGGUGUUGGAUGUCCCGGUUCAAGCCCGUAGUCAUGGUUUCUAGGCAAAUCCGGAGACCUUAGAUGAGAGGUGAUAACGAGGCGGCUUGCCGCCGAAGUGAGCAAUACCCUGCUUCCAAGGAAAAGCCACUAAGCUUCAGCUGUACGCGACCGUACCGCAAACCGACACUGGUGCGCGAGAUGAGUAUUCUAAGGCGCUUGAGAGAACUCUGGAGAAGGAACUCGGCAAAUUGACACCGUAACUUCGGAAGAAGGUGUGCCUUUAGUAGGUGAUCCUGUACAAGGGGAGCCCAAUGAGGCCGCAGAGAAUCGGUGGCUGCGACUGUUUAUUAAAAACACAGCACUCUGCAAAGACGAAAGUCGACGUA